GGGGACGAUUCGGAUUCGACGACGAUAACGAACCCCGAGGUGCAUGCCGAGAGUUGGUAAUCACUCUCGUAAAACAAUGAUUACUGGUUAUUAGCUGCCAAAACUCAAGCUAAUGACGAGCUUUACGACGCUCCAGCUGUUGUUACAGCUGCUGCGGCGUAAUUUCGUUACCUAAACAGUAACGCUCGUCCGGUCUAUCCGCCCCGUCUGUCGGGAGGUAUUCAGACCGUCAUUGCAGACAGACUCGCCGUGAUCAGCGCCUGGCUUUGAUCGGUUAAAACCUUACAGGAUCGGCCUGUUUCAUCCCGACCGCUGGAUCGUGACAGGUUUAAAUCAAAGGCGGAUCUAAGCAUGUAGAGCCAAGGGCAGAGUAUCGGCGGACGCGGGUUCAAAUCCCGCCGUCUCCACCA
rnacentral:tmRNA from 1 species